UGUAAAAACUUGUGAACUAUGUCCUCGGUCUAGCUAGCAUAUGUAUAUGUGUCUUGUAUUUGUAUAGUCAGACCUCACGUUGGUUAGAUAGUCAGAACACACAACCAAUAUAUACUUUUCACGCCUUCAUUUUUUUUCUAUUUUUUACAUGAUUAAUGGUGGGUCGGGGCUGGAGAGACAGAUAUCACCUAGGACUGAAAUGAACGAAGGCUGCAGAUCAAGGGAGAUAACUGAAAGCAAUGUGAGCCAAUCAGCGUACUGUUGCAAGUACUACAAUAUUGGAGGUUGGUGUGCAUUACAUAUUGCAACUACAAUGAAGGUUGCAGCUGCUUGGGAUCGAGCCAUAGGCGUAUCCACUCUGGCAGAUCAAAUCUUGGCUAUGCCACUCG
rnacentral:lncRNA from 1 species